rnacentral:rRNA from 1 species
AACGAACGCUGGCGGCAGGCCUAACACAUGCAAGUCGAGCGAGGACUUCGGUCCUAGCGGCGGACGGGUGAGUAACGCGUGGGAACGUGCCCUUUGCUUCGGAAUAGCCCUGGGAAACUGGGAGUAAUACCGGAUGAGCCCUUUGGGGGAAAGAUUUAUCGGCGAAGGAUCGGCCCGCGUUGGAUUAGGUAGUUGGUGGGGUAAUGGCCUACCAAGCCGACGAUCCAUAGCUGGUUUGAGAGGAUGAUCAGCCACACUGGGACUAAGACACGGCCCAGACUCCUACGGGAGGCAGCAGUGGGGAAUCUUAGACAAUGGGGGAAACCCUGAUCUAGCCAUGCCGCGUGAGCGAUGAAGGCCUUAGGGUUGUAAAGCUCUUUCAGCUGGGAAGAUAAUGACGGUACCAGCAGAAGAAGCCCCGGCUAACUCCGUG